rnacentral:rRNA from 1 species
GACGAACGCUGGCGGCGCGCUUAACACAUGCAAGUCGAGCGAGAACCAGGGCUUCGGCCCUGGGGACAGCGGCGAACGGGUGAGUAACACGUGGGUAAUCUGCCCUCGGCAUCGGGAUAGCCCGGGGAAACCCGGAUCAAUACCGAAUAGCCUCCGGAGCUCUCGGGCGCCGGAGAAAAGGUAGCUUCGGCCUCUGGCCGAGGAUGAGCCCGCGGCGGAUUAGCUUGUUGGCGGGGUAACGGCCCACCAAGGCGACGAUCCGUAGCUGGUCUGAGAGGACGAUCAGCCACACUGGGACUGAGACACGGCCCAGACUCCUACGGGAGGCAGCAGUGGGGAAUCUUGCGCUAAUGCGGGAAACCGUGACGCAGCGACGCCGCGUGGGGGAAGAAGGCCUUCGGGUUGUAAACCUCUUUCAGGAGGGACGAAGCUACUCGGGUGAAUAGCCCAGAGGGUGACGGUACCUCCAGAAGAAGCCCCGGCUAACUACGUGCCAGCAGCCGCAGUAAAAC